CCUACGGGGGGCAGCAGUAGGGAAUCUUCCACAAUGGACGAAAGUCUGAUUGAGCAACGCCGCGUGAGUGAAGAAGGGUUUCGGCUCGUAAAGCUCUGUUGGUAGUGAAGAAAGAUAGAGGUAGUAACUGGCCUUUAUUUGACGGUAAUUACUUAGAAAGUCACGGCUAACUCCGUGCCAGCAGCCGCGGUAAUCCGUAGGUGGCAAGCGUUGACCGGAUUUAUUGGGCGUAAAGCGAGUGCAGGUGGUUCAAGAAGUCUGAUGUGAAAGCCGUCGGCUCAACCGGAGAAUUGCAUCAGAAACUGGUGGACUUGAGUGCAGAAGAGGAGAGUGGAACUCCAGGUGUAGCGGUGGAAUGCGUAGAUAUAUGGAAGAACACCAGUGGCGAAGGCGGCUCUCUGGUCUGCAACUGACGCUGAGGCUCGAAAGCAUGGGUAGCGAACAGGAUUAGAUACCCUUGUAGUC
rnacentral:rRNA from 1 species